rnacentral:rRNA from 1 species
AACGAACGCUGGCGGCAUGCCUAACACAUGCAAGUCGAACGAGACCUUCGGGUCUAGUGGCGCACGGGUGCGUAACGCGUGGGAACCUGCCCUUAGGUUCGGAAUAACUCCCCGAAAGGGGUGCUAAUACCGGAUAAUGUCUUCGGACCAAAGAUUUGUCGCCUUUGGAUGGGCCUGCGUUGGAUUAGCUAGUUGUUAGGGUAAGAGCCUCCCAAGGCGACGAUCCAUAGCUGGUCUGAGAGGAUGAUCAGCCACACUGGGACUGGGACACGGCCCAGACUCCUACGGGAAGCAGCAGUGGGGAAUAUUGGACAAUGGGCGAAAGCCUGAUCCAGCAAUGCCGCGUGAGUGAUGAAGGCCUUAGGGUUGUAAAGCUCUUUUACCCGGGAUGAUAAUGACGGUACCGGGAGAAUAAGCACCGGCUAACUCCGUG